GAGUUCAAGAUUAAAUCGUCC
rnacentral:snRNA from 1 species